rnacentral:tRNA from 1 species
UCUAGAAUGGCAGACCAUUGCAUAGGAUUUAAGCUCCUAAUAGGGAGUUCUUAACUCCUUCUAGAA